GAUCUAGCCUGGUCAUGGGAGUGGGCUAUACAACACAGAUCUAGCCUGGUCAUGGGAGUGGACUAUACAACACAGAUCUAGCCUGGUCAUGGGAGUGGGCUAUACAAACAGAUCUAGCCUGGUCAUGGGAGUGGACUAUACAACACAGAUCUAGCCUGGUCAUGGGAGUGGACUAUACAACACAGAUCUAGCCUGGUCAUGGGAGUGGGCUAUACAACACAGAUCUAGCCUGGUCAUGGGAGUGGACUAUACAACACAAACAGAUCUAGCCUGGUCAUGGGAGUGGACUAUACAACACAGAUCUAGCCUGGUCAUGGGAGUGGACUAUACAACACAGAUCUAGCCUGGUCAUGGGAGUGGACUAUACAACACAGAUCUAGCCUGGUCAUGGGAGUGGGCUAUACAACACAAACAGAUCUAGCCUGGUCAUGGGAGUGGACUAUACAACACAAACAGAUCUAGCCUGGUCAUGGGAGUGGACUAUACAACACAGAUCUAGCCUGGUCAUGGGAGUGGGCUAUACAAACAGAUCUAGCCUGGUCAUGGGAGUGGGCUAUACAACACAAACAGACCUUUUCCACCAAUGCCUACAUAUCCACCAUCCUCUACCUCAGGACCCAGGUUUGGAGAAAACAACCAUUGGAACCAACCUCCUGCCUCCCAGCCACCUCUCCCCAGCAAGGCCCAGGUGUUCCCAAACCCAUCCCUCCCAAGCAUUAACCCCGACAGGGACACCCCUUCGAACAUAAUGGGG